rnacentral:rRNA from 1 species
AUGAACGCUGGCGGCGUGCCUAAUCCAUGCAAGUCGAGCGAACAGACGAGGAGCUUGCUCCUCUGACGUUAGCGGCGGACGGGUGAGUAACACGUGGAUAACCUACCUAUAAGGCUGGGAUAACUUCGGGAAACCGGAGCUAAUACCGGAUAAUAUAUUGAACCGCAUGGUUCAAUAGUGAAAGACGGUUUUGCUGUCACUUAUAGAUGGAUCCGCGCCGCAUUAGCUAGUUGGUAAGGUAACGGCUUACCAAGGCAACGAUGCGUAGCCGACCUGAGAGGGUGAUCGGCCACACUGGAACUUAGACACGGUCCAGACUCCUACGGGAGGCAGCAGUAGGGAAUCUUCCGCAAUGGGCGAGAGCUUGACGGAGCAACGCCGCGUGAGUGAUGAAGGUCUUCGGAUCGUAAAACUCUGUUAUUAGGGAAGAACAAAUGUGUAAGUAACUAUGCACGUCUUGACGGUACCUAAUCAGAAAGCCACGGCUAACUACGUG